rnacentral:rRNA from 1 species
UACGAAGGGGGCUAGCGUUGUUCGGAAUCACUGGGCGUAAAGCGCAUGCAGGCGGAUUGUUAAGUCGGGGGUGAAAUCCCGAGGCUCAACCUCGGAACUGCCUUCGAUACUGGCAAUCUUGAGUCCGGGAGAGGUGAGUGGAACUGCGAGUGUAGAGGUGAAAUUCGUAGAUAUUCGCAAGAACACCAGUGGCGAAGGCGGCUAACUGGUCCGGUACUGACGCUGAGGUGCGAAAGCGUGGGGAGCAAACAGG